GGGCGGUUAGCUCAGUUGGUUAGAGUGCCUGCUCGACAUGCAGGAGGUCGCAGGUUCGAUUCCCGCACCGCCCACCA
rnacentral:tRNA from 1 species